CUCACAGCUGGCCGGCUUCCCAUGGUCCUAAAGAUGCCUGGAUCAGUACUCAUGAAGUCCACAGCCACUCCAGCAUACAGGUUUCCAUCUAGAUGGAGGAGAUUGAGUGAAAGAAAAGAAUGAAUGAGCACAACGCUGCAACAUUUUCCUGGUUUGGAUCAUAAGAGCAUUUUCCCCUUCCAGAGUCCACAAAACCUGGAACCAGCCUGAAAAGCUUUCCAGCCUCUGUUGAUGAAUGUGCAGAUGGGUUUAUAAGCUCCAGUCCCACAGGUGUACAGAGAGACCAGAUACUCGCGGCUGCCCAGGUAAAGCCGGCCCUGAUCCUGAUCCACAUGCAAGAUCCGGUAGUCACUGGUGUUGAAAGAGAAACUGAAUGGUCUUGCUGUCCGUGUGUCCAUAAGUUCUAAUGAAUGACAGAGGAGAAGCAAAGAAAUUGUAAUCAUUAACAUGAAAUUAAAUUUGAACCUGUUUACUUUCUUAAUGCA